AAAGCCCGCCUCGAUGCUAUUGAU
rnacentral:siRNA from 1 species